AUUGAACACUGGCGGCAGGCCUAACAAAUGCAAGUCGAACGAGUGGCGGACGGGUGAGUAAUGCCUGUGAAACUGCCCGAAGGAGGGGGAUAACUACUGGAAACGGUAGAUAAUACCGCAUACCAUCAGCUGUGCCCAGAUGGGUGUCGCUUGGUGGUGGGGUAACGGCUCACCAAGGAGACGAUCCCUAGCUGGUCUGCAGGGAUGACCAGCCACACGGGAACGGAGACACGGUCCAGACGCCUAGGUGAGGCAGCAGUGGGUAAUAUUGCACAAUGGGCGCAAGCCUGAUGCAGCCAGGCCGCGUGUAUGAAGAAGGCCUUCGGGUUGUAAAGGACUUGCAGCGGGGAGGCGUUACCCGCAGAAGAAGCACCGGCUAACUCCGUGCCAGCCGCCGCGGUAAUUC
rnacentral:rRNA from 1 species